AUUGAACGCUGGCGGCAGGCCUAACACAUGCAAGUCGAACGGUAGCACAGAGAGCUUGCUCUCGGGUGACGAGUGGCGGACGGGUGAGUAAUGUCUGGGAAACUGCCUGAUGGAGGGGGAUAACUACUGGAAACGGUAGCUAAUACCGCAUAACGUCGCAAGACCAAAGAGGGGGACCUUCGGGCCUCUUGCCAUCAGAUGUGCCCAGAUGGGAUUAGCUAGUAGGUGGGGUAAUGGCUCACCUAGGCGACGAUCCCUAGCUGGUCUGAGAGGAUGACCAGCCACACUGGAACUGAGACACGGUCCAGACUCCUACGGGAGGCAGCAGUGGGGAAUAUUGCACAAUGGGCGCAAGCCUGAUGCAGCCAUGCCGCGUGUAUGAAGAAGGCCUUCGGGUUGUAAAGUACUUUCAGCGAGGAGGAAGGCAUUAAGGUUAAUAACCUUAGUGAUUGACGUUACUCGCAGAAGAAGCACCGGCUAACUCCGUGCCAGCAGCCGCGGUAAAAC
rnacentral:rRNA from 1 species